UCCAUCUCUUUUCGUUUUCCACACAAAAUCCGAGCGAAUCAGAGAAAAGGAAAUCAACAAACCCUAGCCUAGCUAUGCCCGCGCCCGGCACAGGCCGCCGCCACGGCAAGACAAUGCUGUCCCCUUGUCGACGAGCAGCGGCGGCGGCUGCCUCCUCCACUGCUCGUGACACCACUGCGGUCGCCCUGCCAUCAAGGCGUAUCGUCAUCCCGUUUGGCCCGGGCGUCCUCUGUUCAGGGUUUGAAAUUUAACAUAAGAUAUGGCGACCUUCAUGGACUGUUCCACACAUAUAUCUUCAUCUGUGAGGGCCAUUUAAGAGCUUGCAGGAAUCUAACGAGGCUAUCUUGUUGUCGCCAUCUUAUGACAGCCAGCACCCCAAAGUGUAACGCUUCUAAACUUCGUUCACAAACGAAAUUACCAUACUGCUCUAGCACAUUUGCACUUUAUUAUAUUCAGACCGGACUAUGUAGUUGGAAGAUAAUCAUAGUUUGUUUUAAACCACUUAGAGCUGAGGAAACAUUUUAUUUUUGUAAUUUCAUUUGUGAAAGAGUUGGCAGCCAGAGCAGUAAGCUCCAUCAUCCAUUCAAACAGUAUGGUAAGAGUACACUUCAAAUCAAAGAUGUAUAUAUUUUUUUAUAUCUAAAAUGGAUGUAUAAUUAUGCAUUAAGAAUGUAUAGACAUUGUAAGCAGUUCAGAUCUGCUUUAUCUUUGUGCUAAUUGUUUCCAUGGGCCAUGUUAGUGUCUACUCAGGAGCUGUUUGGUCAUUUUCUUUCAACAGCCUUGCCUGCAAACUUUUCACUCUAACCCUAUGGCAAAGCUGAUAACAUUUGCCACGCUACUUGGAAUCACUUUGCCCUCCCCACUUUUGGGAAAACGGAUGAUUGGAUGCGCCCAUUAGUUCAAGUUUUGGUGGACAAGUAUAAUGGCAAUCACAAUCUUUUUGGGGAUCUGACACAUGAACUCAAAGAUGCUCUGCAUUACCAAUUUAUUUCUGAGACAUUAGUACCAUUUGUAAGAAGAGUUUGUGCUAUUAUCAUUAGAACUUCACUGCAAAGAUUAAAGGAACCAGUGAUUUUGACUCUGGCAUUGACAAUCUAUUAUUUUAGAGAAACUGGACAAUCUAUUCUUUGUUGGACUCACACUUAGGCAUCGAGAUUGAUAAUGGUACUGUAUACUCUUCGCUUAGAUCAAGUGCUGCUGGAAUACAGUCUGGGGGUCACACUACUAGAACUUUUCUGUUAGAUAUCAUUGUAAAUGUGUUUCUGACUGCACUAUAUGCUGUUUACCAUGUUGACCUGUUCUGUUUGCCUAUUGAGUCAUAUAAUCAUGUUUCCCUUCAUCUCCAUUAUCCUUGACCAUUACAUUUCUAUUAUUUCAAAUUGCCUCGUGCAAUGAUGUCGUCUUCAUGUGGAGGCUUUGGAAGACGCGCAAUGAUGUCCUCUUCAACAAUGUCGCCCCCAGGCGGCACGAUCUAGUUCUUUCCAUUUUGGCAGAAGCUAAGCUCUGGCUUCUUGCAGGUGCUAGGGCACUGCGCCGGUUGCCUCUCCAUACCAGGCCUCCCGAUGACAACUUGCCACAGCACCUGCAGUCCUAACAAAGUUAGCUGCCUGUAGCCCCUGUAUAGUUCUUUCUUUUGCUUUCUUUCAGUUUUUCGUAGCCUUGCUACAACCCUGUAUGCUCCCGCCUUCUCAGCGGUUUUCUCUAAUAUAUAAUGAUGCACGCCUAGGCGUGUGUUCGAGAAAAUAAAAUUGCCUCAUGCAGUCAUAUUUAAUGACUUUAUAAAUACUCUCUCCUUCCCAAAAAUAAGAUGCAUAUAGUUUUUGGUCAAAGUCAAACUUUUUAAAGUUUGAAUAACUAUAUAGAAAAAAGCGUCAACAUUUAUAAUCUCAAACCAAUUUUGUUAGAACCAUCGUGAAUUAUACUUCAUGGUGUGUGCAUUUGGUAUUGUAGAUGCUUAUACUUUUUUUUGUAUGUAGUUAGCAAACUACGGAAAGUUUAACUUUGACCAAAAACUAUAUGCAUCUUAUUUUGGGAAGGAGGGAGUAUUUGUUUACUUCAACUAUUGAGUUAUUGUUAUGUUUUCUUUAUCGGUUAUUUGAUAUUUAACCGACAAACACCUCUCUUUUCCCUAAAAAAUAAAGGUCACUGCUAUGGUUGCACAAAAAAAUGGAGGUGCUGAUCUGAAGCACCCUGACAGUGCUAAUUCCUACGCCAGCAGUCACUUGAACGUAUAUCUGCCAGACUGCCACAUAGAACAUAUAGAGUGGAGUGACUCCGAUGGCAAUGUGGUUGCUGAGGAGGCUAGGCUAAGACAUAUUUACAAGGUAAAUUACCAUAUACUGUAUGGUAUUUAGUACAUUUAAUUUGUAGUAACAUGGUGUAGGUCAGUUGAUUGAUUAUUCUUUGCUUGUGUAUUUCCUGUAGGGCGUUGGUUGUCUUUAGAGCCUUGAUUGUUAUUGACUAUAGCAACAUCGAUUGCAGAAGUCUGAAAUGGGCAGUAGAGUGGAACAUAACAGUCCUUAGUUUCUUGUGAUUGAAUAUAUAUUUCGCGAUCAUGAGACUUCUAGACCCAUGUAGCUUUUUAUUUCCAGUUGCUAAGACACCUAAGAAAGAAAUGUAUUCUGCAGUGACAUAUAAAGAAAUCAUUUGGUUUGAGGUGAAUCUAAUAUCAUAAGUUUGCUUAAAUAAGUGCUACUUUGUUGUCCCUAUGGUUUAUGUCUUUAUAAGCAUGAUUGUACUUAGCUUCUGCUUACACACAUUUAACAAAAAAAUCCAUUUAAUACAAGUUGUGGUUGAGCUGGACAAUUUGAGACACUGUACAACAAUAGAAAGCAUAGCCCGAUUGGUUGGUGAUUGCAUUUCAAUAUAGCCGGCGACCUCAAGGUGAGAGUGAGACCCAUCCUUUGUCUAAUUCCUCCUUUGCUGUUUCAGUUAGAUCUGUAUGCAGAGGGCUGUUGCGGUACUGAUCUCCUAGAUGAUUUUCAGUGACCUGAUCUGCAGUUCUCCAUUAUGAAAGCCGUUGGAAGUGCUAUCAUGCUUGCUCGCCGGUUGCAGCUUCUAAUGGCAACUCAGCACGCUGCUGCACCGAGUCAGCUUCCUCACGCGAGGAGCCGUUUGGAGAUUCUGGAUCUCUUGAUGACCGUCUUUAUGCGCUUCUGAACUUCAAUCUAGAUUUUUUUAUUUAACUCAUUUUGUGGGCACCUUUGCAAUUUUUUAUAUUUAAUCCGUACUAUGUAGUUAGAAGAUAAUCAUAUUUUGAUUUAAACCACAUAAAGCUGAGGAAACAUUUUGUUUUUUUAAUUUCAUGUCUGAAAGAGUUGAUAGCCAGAGCAGUAAGCUCAAUUAUCCACUAAAAACAGUAUGGUAAAAGUACACUGAGUUGGGGCGAAAGCCUAUUUUGACGAGGAGUUGGGGAUCUCAAAAAAUUGAUUUUUUAUUUAAAUCUAAAAUAGAGGUAGAAUUAUCCAUUGAGAACAUACAUAUGCAUUGAAAGCUGUUCAGUUCUGCUUUAUCUUUGUGUUACUUGUUUCCAUGGACCAUCUCAAGCGUCAACUCAGGAGCUGUUUGGUUCUUUUCUUUCAACAGCCUUGCCUGCGAACUUUUCACUCUAACCCUAUGCCAGGCUGAUAACAUUUGACAUAUUACUCGGAAUCACUUUGCACUCCUCACUUUGGAGAAAGUGCAAUAUACUAAGCAUAUAGAAUUCUCUGAUAUAAAUUAGGUGCAACCAAGAUGGGGUUUCUCUAGUGGAUAUGGCUAUACGAAAAUCUCUUCAUGGGCUUGAUGGCACGAGGAGGAAAUAUCAAAGUUGGAAGCAAUUGGGAAAACAGAUGAUCAGAUGCGCCUAUUGGUUCAAGAUUUGGUGGACAAGUAUAAUGACAAUCACAAUAUUUUGGGGGAUCUGGCACAUGAACUCAAAGAUGCUCUGCAUUACCAAUUUAUUUCUGAGAGGUAGUACCAUUUAUAAGAAAGUUGGUGCUAUUAUCAUUUGAAUUUCACUGCAAAGAUUAAAGGAGCUGGUGAUUUUGACUCUGGCAUGGACAAUCUGUUCUUUUAGAGCAACUGGACAAUCUAUUCUUUGUUGGACUCACACUUACGCAUCGAGGUUGAUAACGGUACUGUAUACUCUUCUCUUAGAUCAAGUGCUACUGAAAUACAGUCUGGGCACUGUAAAUGUGUUUCUGACUGCACUAUAUGCCGUUUACCAUGUUGACUUGUUCUGUUUGCCUAUUGAGUCAUAUAAUCAUGUUUCCCUUCAUCUCCAUUAUCCUUGACCAUUACAUUUGUAAUAUCUCAAAUUGCUUCGUGCAGUCAUAUCUAAUGACUUUAUAAAUACGGAGUAUUUGUUUACUUCAACUAUUCAGUUAUUGUUAUGUUUUCUUUAUCGGUUAUUUGAUAUUUAGCUGGCAAACACCUCUCUUUUUCCCUAAAAAAUGGAGGUGCUGUUCUGAAGCACCCUGACAAUGCUGAUGCCUACACCGGCGGUCACUUGAACGAAUAUCUGCCAGACUGCCACAUAGAACAUGUAGAGUGGAGUGACUCCGAUGACAAUGUGGUUGCUGAGGAGGCUAGGCUAAGACAUAUUUACAAGGGCGUUGGUUGUCUUUGGAGCCUUGAUUAUUAUUUCCUAUAGCAACACCGAUGGCAGAAAUCUGAAAUGGGCAGUAGAGUUGAACAAAACAGUCCUUAGUUUCUUGUUACUGAAUAUAUAUUUCGCGAUCAUGAGACUUCUAGACCCAUGUAGUUUUUUCAUUUACAGUUGCUAAGACACCAAGAAAUAAAUGUAUUGUGUAGUGACAUAAAGAAAUCAUUUGGUUUGAGGUGAAUCUAAUAUCAUAAGUUUGCUUAAAUAAGUACUACUUUGUUGCCCUAUAGUUGAUGUCUUUAUAAGCAUGAUUGUACUUAGCUUCUGCUUACGCAUUUAACAAAAAAUCCAUUUAAUACAAGUUGUGGUUGAGCUGGACAAUUUGAGACAUUGUAGAACAAUAGAAAGCAUAGCCAGAUUGGUUGGUGACGGCUUUGAGUGUUUCGUCAACCUUGAGGGGUUUCACCUUGUGUCGUGUGGGCGAUGAGGUGUCUCUCAACGCUGGUCAUCGGCGUACCGGGCUUCACUUCUGACGCAUGAUCUUGUGGAUGUGGUCUUCUUCACCUUUGCGGAAGCGUCCCAAGUCUGCUCCUGCCAGCCCCGUCGAUGGCCACGAU